AUCAGCGGCGGCACCAGCUACAUGCUCCAGGACGGGCUCACCGCACAGCAGCUCUUUGCCAGCGACCAGGGACUCACCUACAACAACUUCUUGAUUCUCCCAGGAUUCAUAGACUUCAUAGCUGAUGAGGUGGACCUGACCUCAGCCCUGACCCGAUGGUCACGCUGAAGACGCCACUGGUCUCCUCCCCCAUGGACACUGUGACAGAGGCUGACAUAGCCAUCGCCAUGGCUCUGAUAGGAGGUAUUAGUUUCAUUCACCACAACUCACUCCAGAGUUUCAGGCCAGUGAGGUGCGGAAGGUCAAGAAGUUUGAAUAGGACUUCAACACGGACCCGGUGGUGCUAAGUUCCUCGCACACUGUGGGUGAUGUGCUGGAGGCCAAGAUGCGGCAUGGCUUCCCUGGCAUCCCCAUCACGGAGACAGGCACCAUGGGCAGCAGGUUGGUGAGCAUCGUCGCUUCCCGAGACAUCGAUUUUCUUGCUGAGAAGGCCCACACCACCCUCCUCAGUGAGGCAAUGACGCCAAGGAUCGAGCUAGUGGUGGUUCCAGCAGGUGUGAUGUUGAAAGAGGCAAAUGAGAUCCCACAGCUUAGCAAGAAAGGGAAGCUGCCUACCGUCAACGAUCAAGAUGAGCUGGUGGCCAUUAUCACUGACACCCACCUGAAGAAGAACCAAGACUACCCUGCGGCUUCCGAGGAUUCCCAUAAGCAGCUGCUGUGCGGGGCAGCUGUGGGCACCCGUGAGGAUGACAAAUACUGCCUGGACCUGCCCACCCAGGUAGGCGUCGACAUCAUAGUCUUGAACUCGUCCCAAGGGAACUCAGUGUAUCAGAUUGCCAUGGUGCAUUACAUCAAACAAAAGUACCCCCACCUCCAGGUGACUGGAGAGAACGUUGGUGACAGCAGCCCAGGCCAACAACCUUAUUGACACUGGUGUGGACGGGCUGCGCAUGGGCAUGGGCCGCGGCUCCAUCUACAUCACCCAGGAAGUGAUGGUCUUCGGUCAGCCCCAAGGCACUGCUGUGUACAAGGUGGCCAAGCAUGCCCAGCGCUUUGGUGUGCCCAUCAUAGCCAGUGGCAGCAUCCAGACCGUGGGGCAUGUGGUCAAAGCCCUGGCCCUUGGAGCCUCCACAGUGAUGAUGGGCUCCUUGCUGGCCGCCACCACGGAGGCCGGCGAGUACUUCUCAGACAGAAUGCACCUCAAGAAGUAUCGGGGCAUGGGUUCACUGGAUGCCAUGCAGAAGAGCAGCAGCAGCCAGAAACAAUACUUCAAUGACAGGGAUAAGGUGAAGAUCACACAGGGUGUCUCGGGCUCCAUCCAGGACCAAGGGGCCAUUCAGAAGUUCAUGCCCUACCUCAUAGUGGGCAUCCAGCAUGGCUGCCAGGAUAUCGGGGCCUGCAGCCUGUCUGUCCUUCGGUCCAUGAGGUGCUCAGCGGAGCUCAAGUUUGAGAAGCGGACCAUGUCGGCCCAGAUCGAGGGUGGCGUCCAUGGCCUGCACUCUUACGAGAAGCGACUGUACUGAGGACAGCGGUGCAGGGCGAGGUGGCGGAGGGAGUGCACCCCAGUGUCCACCUUCGGGCACAGCCUCCCUCCAUCACUGAGUCCACAGAUUUGCCCUACAGGUUCCCCAGCUCCUUUCCAGGGAGAGAGGAGGGGAGGCUCUGAGGGGUCUGCGGCCACCCUCGCUGAGCAUCCCCUGCAGAGUCAGGACUGCUCCCUGGGUUAGGCUGCCCUGGGAUACCCCCUGAAUCCAGCCAGUCAGGCUCUCAGGCCCUGCACCUGCCUCAGGUCUUUCUUGCUGCAGCCUGCUCCAGCCCAGCCCCCACCCCAGGGGCAGGAGGCUCCUCCUGGCUUCUCCUGUAGGGCACCUCCCUGUCCCCAGUCCCCCAGGAAAUGGUGCUCUCCUGGCCCUGCCUCGGCCCCUUCCCGGGCUGCUGCCCCCUCAGCCAUGUGGCACUUCUGAGCUCCUGACCUAGGCCAAGGGGAGGUCUCUGCCCCCUUCCCUGGCCCUGGGCUACCCUUGGGUCCUGCUCCUCAGGCCACUCCCCAGUCCCUGGCCCUGGGGAGGAGGCCGCCCUGGUCAUGGCUGCCUGCCUGUUAUUCCUGACUCACCACCGUCCCCAGGUGUACCAUUCCUGCCCUCUCCUCAGCUGCAGUUGAAGGCUUUAACUUUGCACACUUUGGGAUCACUGUCGAGUCACUGUGUGUUAAAUAAUCGGAAUAAAUCAAGUAGGUCUCAAAAAACAAACAAAAAAAAAGAAUGGAGUAUAAAUGCUACUUCUGUUCUCGAUCUUUGAUCAGACAAAUUUAGAGUGUGUUGGGGUGGAAGAGUGCUCUAUAGAUUAAUGAGUCUCAGCCAUGCCCUUUAGGCUGUGAUGCUAUGGUGGCAGUGAACUUGCUAACAGAGCCGAAGCUGAGGCUGAGUCUAAAAGACAAUGAGGGAUGCAAGUAAGGGAGAAGGCCAAUGUGAGUCUGGUCCUUUUUAUCAAGGAAAAAAUCGAAUGUGCUCUUUUC